ACUUCCUACGAGAGGCAGCAGUGAGGAAUAUUGGUCAAUGGGCGCGAGCCUGAACCAGCCAAGUAGCGUGGAGGAUAACUGCCCUACGGGUUGUAAACUUCUUUUAUAAAGGAAUAAAGUGAGGCACGUGGGCCUUUUUGUAUGUACUUUAUGAAUAAGGAUAGGCUAACUCCGUGCCAGCAGCCGCGGUAAUACGGAGGAUCCGAGCGUUAUCCGGAUUUAUUGGGUUUAAAGGGAGCGUAGAUGGGUUGUUAAGUCGGUUGUGAAAGUUUGCGGCUCAACCGUAAAAU
rnacentral:rRNA from 1 species